GGUCCCGUAGCUCAACUGGAUAGAGCGUUGGCCUCCGAAGCCAGAGGUUCUGAGUUCGAAUCUCAGCGGGAUCG
rnacentral:tRNA from 2 species